GAUGAACGCUGGCGGCGUGCUUAACACAUGCAAGUCGAACGGUGAAGCAGGAGCUUGCUCUUGUGGAUCAGUGGCGAACGGGUGAGUAACACGUGAGCAACCUGCCCCUGACUCUGGGAUAAGCGCUGGAAACGGCGUCUAAUACUGGAUAUGUGAUGUGACCGCAUGGUCUGCAUCUGGAAAGAAUUUCGGUUGGGGAUGGGCUCGCGGCCUAUCAGCUUGUUGGUGAGGUAAUGGCUCACCAAGGCGUUGACGGGUAGCCGGCCUGAGAGGGUGACCGGCCACACUGGGACUGAGACACGGCGCAGACGCCUACGGGAGGCAGCAGUGGGGAAUAUUGCACAAUGGGCGGAAGCCUGAUGCAGCAACGCCGCGUGAGGGAUGACGGCCUUCGGGUUGUAAACCUCUUUUAGCAGGGAAGAAGCGAAAGUGACGGUACCUGCAGAAAAAGCACCGGCUAACUACGUGCCAGCCGCCGCCGUAA
rnacentral:rRNA from 1 species